rnacentral:miRNA from 1 species
AAUACAGACGGCCCAGCUAAAUUUGAAUUUCAGAUAAAUGGAUAGUUUCUUAGUAUAACUAAAUCCCCAAAAUUGCAUGGGACAUACUUAUACUAAAAAUGUAUGUUUAUCUGAAAUUCAAAUUUAACUGGGCCUCCUCUAUUUU